rnacentral:rRNA from 1 species
GGUAACACUAACUGGAGGACCGAACCGACUAAUGUUGAAAAAUUAGCGGAUGACCUGUGGCUGGGGGUGAAAGGCCAAUCAAACCGGGAGAUAGCUGGUUCUCCCCGAAAGCUAUUUAGGUAGCGCCUCGUGAAUUCAUCUCCGGGGGUAGAGCACUGUUUCGGCUAGGGGGCCAUCCCGGCUUACCAACCCGAUGCAAACUGCGAAUACCGGAGAAUGUUAUCACGGGAGACACACGGCGGGUGCUAACGUCCGUCGUGAAGAGGGAAACAACCCAGACCGCCAGCUAAGGUCCCAAAGUCAUGGUUAAGUGGGAAACGAUGUGGGAAGGCCCAGACAGCCAGGAUGUUGGCUUAGAAGCAGCCAUCAUUUAAAGAAAGCGUAAUAGCUCACUGGUCGAGUCGGCCUGCGCGGAAGAUGUAACGGGGCUAAACCAUGCACCG